rnacentral:rRNA from 1 species
AAAAACAUCUUUUCUUGUUUAGUUUUUGAAGUAUGGCCUGCCCGCUGACAUUUGUUGAAGGGCCGCGGUAUUUUGACCGUGCAAAGGUAGCAUAAUAAUUAGUUCUUUAAUUGUGAUCUGGUAUGAAUGGCUUGACGAGACAUUAGCUGUCUUAGAGGUAUUGUUUAUUGAAUUUAGUUUUUGAGUUAAAAUUCUUAAAUGUUUUUAUGGGACGAGAAGACCCUAUAGAGUUUGACAAGAUUUUUAUUUGUAUAAAUUGUUUGUUUUAUUAAUAGUGAUUAAUAAUUUUGUUUUGUUGGGGUGAUGGGAGGAAUUUAUUUAACUCCUCUUUGGUUUGUUAUAUUUAUUUAUAUUUCUUUUGAUCCAAUUAUUUUGAUUAUUAGAUUAAAUUACCUUAGGG